AUCUUAGAUUCGCGGCCUAUCAGCUUGUUGGUGAGGUAACGGCUCACCAAGGCAUCGACGGGUAGCUGGUCUGAGAGGAUGAUCAGCCACACUGGGACUGAGACACGGCCCAGACUCCUACGGGAGGCAGCAGUGGGGAAUAUUGCACAAUGGGCGAAAGCCUGAUGCAGCAACGCCGCGUGCGGGAAGAAGGCCCUAGGGUUGUAAACCGCUUUCAGCAGGGAAGAAAAUGACGGUACCUGCAGAAGAAGGUGCGGCCAACUACGUGCCAGCAGCCGCGGUGACACGUAGGCACCAAGCGUUGUCCGGAUUUAUUGGGCGUAAAGAGCUCGUAGGCGGUUCAGUAAGUCGGGUGUGAAAACUCUGGGCUCAACCCAGAGACGCCACCCGAUACUGCUGUGACUUGAGUACGGUAGGGGAGCGGGGAAUUCCUGGUGUAGCGGUGAAAUGCGCAGAUAUCAGGAGGAACACCAGUGGCGAAGGCGCCGCUCUGGGCCGAAACUGACGCUGAGGAGCGAAAGCAUGGGUAGCAAACAGGAUUAGAUACCCUGGUAGUCCAUGCCGUAAACGUUGGGCACUAGGUGUGGGUCUCAACCAACGAGAUCCGCGCCGUCGCUAACGCAUUAAGUGCCCCGCCUGGGGAGUACGGA
rnacentral:rRNA from 1 species